rnacentral:rRNA from 1 species
UGGCUCAGAGUGAACGCUGGCGGCGUUCCUAAUACAUGCAAGUCGAACGAUGAAGUCUCUAGCUUGCUAGAGAUGGAUUAGUGGCGCACGGGUGAGUAAUGCAUAGAUAACAUGCCCUUUAGUCUAGGAUAGCCACUGGAAACGGUGAUUAAUACUGGAUACUUCUUACGAGAGAAAGGGACUCGCUAAAGGAUUGGUCUAUGUCCUAUCAGCUUGUUGGUGAGGUAAUGGCUCACCAAGGCUAUGACGGGUAUCCGGCCUGAGAGGGUGAACGGACACACUGGAACUGAGACACGGUCCAGACUCCUACGGGAGGCAGCAGUAGGGAAUAUUGCUCAAUGGGGGAAACCCUGAAGCAGCAACGCCGCGUGGAGGAUGAAGGUUUUCGGAUUGUAAACUCCUUUUGUGAGAGAAGAUAAUGACGGUAUCUCGCGAAUAAGCACCGGCUAACUCCGUGCCAGCAGCCGCGGUAAUACGGAGGGUGCAAGCGUUACUCGGAAUCACUGGGCGUAAAGAGUGCGCAGGCGGGGUAGCAAGUCAGAUGUGAAAUGCUAUGGCUUAACCAUAGAACUGCAUUUGAAACUGCUACUCUAGAGUGUGGGAGAGGUAGGUGGAAUUCUUGGUGUAGGGGUAAAAUCCGUAGAGAUCAAGAGGAAUACUCAUUGCGAAGGCGACCUACUGGAACAUUACUGACGCUCAUGCACGAAAGCGUGGGGAGCAAACAGGAUUAGAUACCCUGGUAGUCCACGCCCUAAACGAUGAAUGCUAGUUGUUGCCCUGCUUGUCAGGGCAGUAAUGCAGCUAACGCAUUAAGCAUUCCGCCUGGGGAGUACGGUCGCAAGAUUAAAACUCAAAGGAAUAGACGGGGACCCGCACAAGCGGUGGAGCAUGUGGUUUAAUUCGAAGAUACGCGAAGAACCUUACCUAGGCUUGACAUUGAUAGAAUCUGCUAGAGAUAGCGGAGUGCCAUUUCGGUGGAGCUUGAAAACAGGUGCUGCACGGCUGUCGUCAGCUCGUGUCGUGAGAUGUUGGGUUAAGUCCNGCAACGAGCGCAACCCUNGUCCUUAGUUGCUAGCAGCUCGGCUGAGCACUCUAAGGAGACUGCCUUCGUAAGGAGGAGGAAGGUGAGGACGACGUCAAGUCAUCAUGGCCCUUACGCCUAGGGCUACACACGUGCUACAAUGGGAUACACAAAGAGAUGCAAUAUUGUGAAAUGGAGCCAAUCUCAAAAAUAUCUCUCAGUUCGGAUUGUAGUCUGCAACUCGACUACAUGAAGCUGGAAUCGCUAGUAAUCGCAAAUCAGCCAUGUUGCGGUGAAUACGUUCCCGGGUCUUGUACUCACCGCCCGUCACACCAUGGGAGUUGUAUUCGCCUUAAGCCGGAAUGCUAAAUUGGCUACCGUCCACGGCGGAUGCAGCGACUGGGGUGAAGUCGUAACAAGGUAACCGUAGGUGAACCUGCGGUUGGAUACC